GCCGACGUCUCCUAACCCGGUAUGGAGCUCGUCUCGAAAACGAGUGCUCGCAAGGGCUUCCAGGUUCAAAUCCUGGCGUCGGCG
rnacentral:tRNA from 1 species